ACUACGGGUGGCAGCAGUGGGGGAUAUUGCACAAUGGGGGAAACCCUGAUGCAGCGACGCCGCGUGAGCGAUGAAGUAUUUCGGUAUGUAAAGCUCUAUCAGCAGGGAAGAAAAGGACGGUACCUGACUAAGAAGCCCCGGCUAACUACGGGCCAGCAGACGCGGUAAUACGUAGGGGGCAAGCGUUUUCCGGAUUUAGUGGGUGUAAAGGGGGCGUAGCCGGUCGUGCAAGUCUGAAGUGAAAGGCAAGGGCUCAAACCUGUGACUGCUUUUGAAACUGUGGUGCUGGAGUGUCGGAGAGGCAAGUGGAAUGCCUAGUGUAGCGGUGAAAUGCGUAGAUAUUAGGAGGAACACCAGUGGCGAAGGCGGCUUGCUGGACGAUGACUGACGUUGAGGCUCGAAAGCGUGGGGAGCAAACAGGAUUAGAUACCCGUGUAGUC
rnacentral:rRNA from 1 species